AUUGAACGCUGGCGGCAGGCUUAACACAUGCAAGUCGAGCGGGGGAAGGUAGCUUGCUACCGGACCUAGCGGCGGACGGGUGAGUAAUGCUUAGGAAUCUGCCUAUUAGUGGGGGACAACAUCUCGAAAGGGAUGCUAAUACCGCAUACGUCCUACGGGAGAAAGCAGGGGAUCUUCGGACCUUGCGCUAAUAGAUGAGCCUAAGUCGGAUUAGCUAGUUGGUGGGGUAAAGGCCUACCAAGGCGACGAUCUGUAGCGGGUCUGAGAGGAUGAUCCGCCACACUGGGACUGAGACACGGCCCAGACUCCUACGGGAGGCAGCAGUGGGGAAUAUUGGACAAUGGGGGGAACCCUGUUCCAGCCAUGCCGCGUGUGUGAAGGAGGCCUUAUGGUUGUAAAGCACUUUAAGCGAGGAGGAGGCUACUCUAGUUAAUACCUAGGGAUAGUGGACGUUACUCGCAGAAUAAGCACCGGCUAACUCUGUGCCAGCCGCCGCCGUAA
rnacentral:rRNA from 1 species